rnacentral:rRNA from 1 species
AAGGACGUGGUAAGCUGCGAAAAGCUACGGGGAUUGGCACACACGAAUUGAUCCGUAGAUAUCCGAAUGGGGCAACCCAAUACAUUGAAGAUGUAUUACUGCGCAAGCAGAGCAAACCCGGAGAACUGAAACAUCUAAGUACCCGGAGGAAAAGAAAUCGAAGAGAUUCCGUAAGUAGUGGC